CANUGGGGGAACCCUGAUGCAGCGACGCCGCGUGAGCGAAGAAGUAUUUCNGUAUGUAAAGCUCUAUCAGCAGGGNAAGAUAAUGACGGUACCUGACUAAGAAGCCCCGGCUAACUACGUGCCAGCAGCCGCGGUAAUACGUAGGGGGCAAGCGUUAUCCGGAUUUACUGGGUGUAAAGGGAGCGUAGACGGUUAAGCAAGUCUGAAGUGAAAGCCCGGGGCUCAACCCCGGUACUGCUUUGGAAACUGUUUGACUUGAGUGCAGGAGAGGUAAGUGGAAUUCCUAGUGUAGCGGUGAAAUGCGUAGAUAUUAGGAGGAACACCAGUGGCGAAGGCGGCUUACUGGACUGUAACUGACGUUGAGGCUCGAAAGCGUGGGGAGCAAACAGGAUUAGAUACCCUGGUAGUCCAAGGGCGAAUUC
rnacentral:rRNA from 1 species